UACGGAGGGUGCUAGCGUUGUUCGGAAUUACUGGGCGUAAAGCGCACGUAGGCGGCGAUUCAAGUCAGAGGUGAAAGCCCGGGGCUCAACCCCGGAACUGCCUUUGAAACUAGAUUGCUAGAAUCUUGGAGAGGCGAGUGGAAUUCCGAGUGUAGAGGUGAAAUUCGUAGAUAUUCGGAAGAACACCAGUGGCGAAGGCGACUCGCUGGACAAGUAUUGACGCUGAGGUGCGAAAGCGUGGGGAGCAAACAGG
rnacentral:rRNA from 1 species